rnacentral:rRNA from 1 species
GACGAACGCUGGCGGCGUGCUUAACACAUGCAAGUCGAACGGAAAGGCCUCUUUCGGGGGGUACUCGAGUGGCGAACGGGUGAGUAACACGUGAGUAACCUGCCCUUGACUUUGGGAUAACUUCAGGAAACUGGGGCUAAUACCGGAUAGGAGCUCCUGCUGCAUGGUGGGGGUUGGAAAGUUUCGGCGGUUGGGGAUGGACUCGCGGCUUAUCAGCUUGUUGGGGGGGUAGUGGCUUACCAAGGCUUUGACGGGUAGCCGGCCUGAGAGGGUGAGCGGCGAUAGUGGCGAGGAAGCACGGCCGAGGCUCCGACGGGGGGACGAAGGGGGGAAUAUUGCACAAGGGGUGGGGGCCUGAUGCAGAAGCGCCGUGGGGGGUAGAGCGGCUUUGGUGUGGAAACCCGUUUGCGCCCGAACCAAGGCUUGGUGUGAGGGUAGGGGAAAAAGAAGCACCGGCUAACUACGUG